UACGAAGGGUGCAAGCGUUACUCGGAAUUACUGGGCGUAAAGCGUGCGCAGGCGGCUAUGCAAGACAGAUGUGAAAGCCCCGGGCUCAACCUGGGAAUGGCAUUUGUGACUGCACGGCUAGAGUGUGUCAGAGGGGGGUAGAAUUCCACGUGUAGCAGUGAAAUGCGUAGAGAUGUGGAGGAAUACCGAUGGCGAAGGCAGCCCCCUGGGAUGACACUGACGCUCAUGCACGAAAGCGUGGGGAGCAAACAGG
rnacentral:rRNA from 1 species